AGAGAAGAGAAGAGAGAGAGAGAGAGAGAGAGAGAGAGAGAGAGGUUAGAUUAGGGUUAGUGAUGGCCGUGAUUGACGCGAUCCAUGAAUAAUUACAGUUUGUAACGAAACAGGCUUUAGCUUUUCAGGAUAACGGAUAGGGGGAUAAAUGCUAAAGGAUGAAGAUUUUAUUAAUCUUGGGAAGAAGCUCUCCAUUUUACCUUUAAGCUGUGGCUUUGGCCCGAUUGCAUGAUCUAACUCGAAUCUGAUUUGUUUGCUC